rnacentral:rRNA from 1 species
UGGGGAAUAUUGGACAAUGGGCGAAAGCCUGAUCCAGCCAUGCCGCAUGAGUGAAGAAGGCCUUUGGGUUGUAAAGCUCUUUUAGUGAGGAAGAUAAUGACGGUACUCACAGAAGAAGUCCUGGCUAACUCCGUGCAAGCAGCCGCGGUAAUACGGAGAGGGCUAGCGUUAUUCGGAAUUAUUGGGCGUAAAGGGCGCGUAGGCUGGUUAAUAAGUUAAAAGUGAAAUCCCGAGGCUUAACCUUGGAAUUGCUUUUAAAACUAUUAAUCUAGAGAUUGAAAGAGGAUAGAGGAAUUCCUGAUGUAGAGGUAAAAUUCGUAAAUAUUAGGAGGAACACCGGUGGCGAAGGCGUCUAUCUGGUUCAAAUCUGACGCUGAAGCGCGAAGGCGUGGGGAGCAAACA